CCUACGGGUGGCUGCAGUGAGGAAUAUUGGUCAAUGGACGAGAGUCUGAACCAGCCAAGCCGCGUGAAGGAUGACUGUCCUAUGGGUUGUAAACCUCUUUUAUAUGGGAAUAAAAUGUUCCACGUGUGGGCUUUUGUAUGUACCUUAUGAAUAAGGAUCGGCUAACUCCGUGCCAGCAGCCGCGGUAAUACGGAGGAUCCGAGCGUUAUCCGGAUUUAUUGGGUUUAAAGGGAGCGUAGGUGGAUUGUUAAGUCAGGUGUGAAAGUUUGCGGCUCAACCGUAAAAUUGCAGUUGAAACUGGCAGUCGUGAGUACGGGAGAGGUAGGCGGAAUUCGUGGUGUAGCGGUGAAAUGCUUAGAUAUCGCGAAGAACUCCGAUUGCGAAGGCAGCACGCUGGACUGCAACUGACACUGAGGCACGAAAGUGUGGGUAUCGAACAGGAUUAGAUACCCGUGUAGUC
rnacentral:rRNA from 1 species